AGUGAACGCUGGCGGCAGGCCUAAUACAUGCAAGUCGAACGGCAGCACAGCAGAGCUUGCUCUGUGGGUGGCGAGUGGCGGACGGGUGAGGAAUACGUGGGAAUCUGCCCAGUCGUGGGGGAUAACGUAGGGAAACUUACGCUAAUACCGCAUGCGCCCUUCGGGGAAAGCCGGGGACCUUCGGGCCUGGCGCGAUUGGAUGAGCCCACGUCGGAUUAGCUAGUUGGCGGGGUAAAGGCCCACCAAGGCGACGAUCCGUAGCUGGUCUGAGAGGAUGAUCAGCCACACUGGAACUGAGACACGGUCCAGACUCCUACGGGAGGCAGCAGUAGGGAAUAUUGGACAAUGGGCGCAAGCCUGAUCCAGCCAUGCCGCGUGAGUGAAGAAGGCCCUCGGGUUGUAAAGCUCUUUUGUCCGGAAAGAAAGCGCCGGGUUAAUACCCUGGUGUCCUGACGGUACCGGAAGAAUAAGCACCGGCUAACUUCGUGCCAGCAGCCG
rnacentral:rRNA from 1 species